UCCCCUGGCAGUGGGCAAAGAGACACCCUUGUUGGUGGUGGUGUUCUUCUAUCAGUCAGGACAGAGCAGAUGGCAGUUCUUUGCUUCUCCUAGCUUGAUACCUGUCUUGGUGGCCAAAGAUGUCUUAUGCCUAGGACUCAUAA